AACGCACCUUGCGCUCCCUGGUAUUCCGGGGAGCAUGCCUGUUUGAGUGUCAUUAAAUUCUCAACCACACUAUGUUUUAUUAUGUAGUCUUGUGGCUUGGAUCUUGGAGUGUGCCGUCUCUCACGAGUCGGCUCCUCUUUAAAUGCAUUAGCUGGAACCUCUUGUGGUGCCAGACUAUGGUGUGAUAAUUAUCUACGCUGUGGUUUGUGUGCUGCGAUUUAACUAUGGGGUUCUGCUUCUAACCGUCCGCAAGGACAGUAUAGAGUGGUGUUUGUCUCUUAACCGAUUCAAUCUUGCUUACUCUUAUUGACAUUUUGACCUCAAAUCAGGUAGGACUACCCGCUGAACUUAA
rnacentral:misc_RNA from 1 species